rnacentral:rRNA from 1 species
UACGUAGGGGGCGAGCGUUGUCCGGAUUUAUUGGGCGUAAAGAGCUCGUAGGCGGUUCGGCAAGUCGACGGUGAAAUCUCCACGCUCAACGUGGAGGGGUCCGUCGAUACUGCUGUGACUCGAGUCCGGUAGGGGAGUGUGGAAUUCCCGGUGUAGCGGUGAAAUGCGUAGAUAUCGAGAGGAACACCUGCGGCGAAGGCGGGUUGCUGGGCUGACACGUGACGCUCGAUGCACGAAAGCGUGGGGAGCGAAA